rnacentral:rRNA from 1 species
UACGUAGGGUGCGAGCGUUAAUCGGAAUUACUGGGCGUAAAGCGUGCGUAGACGGUUAUGUAAGUCAGGUGUGAAAGCCCCGGGCUCAACCUGGGAAUGGCAUUUGAGACUGCAUAGCUAGGGUGCGGAAGAGGGAAGCGGAAUUUCCGGUGUAGCGGUGAAAUGCGUAGAUAUCGGAAGGAACAUCAGUGGCGAAAGCGGCUUCCUGGUCCAGCACCGACGUUCAGGCACGAAAGCGUGGGGAGCAAACAGG